GAUGAACGCUGGCGGCGUGCCUAAUACAUGCAAGUCGAGCGAACAGAUGAGGAGCUUGCUCCUCUGACGUUAGCGGCGGACGGGUGAGUAACACGUGGAUAACCUACCUAUAAGACUGGGAUAACUUCGGGAAACCGGAGCUAAUACCGGAUAAUAUAUUGAACCGCAUGGUUCAAUAGUGAAAGACGGUUUUGCUGUCACUUAUAGAUGGAUCCGCGCCGCAUUAGCUAGUUGGUAAGGUAACGGCUUACCAAGGCAACGAUGCGUAGCCGACCUGAGAGGGAGAUGGCCCACCUGGAACCUGAGCCCGGGCCCGACCCCCAGGGGGGGGCGCGGGUGGGGAUUUUCCCGCAUGGGCCAAAGCCCGGCGGGGCACCCCCGGGGGGGGGAAGAAGGUCUUAGGAACCAAAAACCUUUUUUAUGGGGAAAAAAAAAAGGCGAAAGAACAUAUGCCGGUCUGGAGGGUCCCUAAUAAAAAGGCCCGGACAACCUCGGUC
rnacentral:rRNA from 1 species